rnacentral:misc_RNA from 1 species
AAAGUCGUAACAAGGUCUCCGUUGGUGAACCAGCGGAGGGAUCAUUACCGAGUCUUACAACUCCCAAACCCCUGUGAACAUACCACACGUUGCUUCGGCGGACCGCCCCGGCGCCCGAACCCCCUUGGGGGGGAGGCCCGGAGCCAGGCGCCCGCCGGGGGACCCAAACUCUUGCCUUCGCCCUGAGCGGAAUCUCCUUCUGAGUAACGAAAACAAAUGAAUCAAAACUUUCAACAACGGAUCUCUUGGUUCUG